rnacentral:rRNA from 1 species
AUACGGAGGGUGCAAGCGUUAAUCGGAAUUACUGGGCGUAAAGGGCGCGUAGGCGGUCUAUCAAGUCAGGUGUGAAAUCCCACGGCUCAACCGUGGAGGUGCAUCUGAAACUGAUAGACUUGAGUAUGGGAGAGGAAAGUGGAAUUCCCGGUGUAGAGGUGAAAUUCGUAGAUAUCGGGAGGAACACCAGUGGCGAAGGCGACUUUCUGGACCAAUACUGACGCUGAGGCGCGAAAGUGUGGGGAGCAAACAGGAUUAGAAACCCUAGUAGUCC